GUAGAGCACUGAAUGGGCUAGGGGGCAUAGCGCUUACCGAACCUUAUCAAACUCCGAAUGCCACAUACUUUGAGCUCGGCAGUCAGACUACGAAUGAUAAGAUCCGUGGUCAAAAGGGAAACAGCCCAGAUCGUCAGCUAAGGUCCCAAAGUGUAAGUUAAGUGGGAAAGGAUGUGAGAUUUCUAAGACAACUAGGAUGUUGGGCUUAGAAGCAGCCAUUCAUUAAAAGAGUGCGUAAUAGCUCACUAGUCGAGAGAUCUUGCGCCGAAAAUGUAACGGGGCUAAACUUACCACCGAAGCUACGGGCUUGAACUUAGUUCAAGCGGUAGGAGAGCGUCGUAACCGGGCUGAAGUCGUACCGUAAGGAGCGGUGGACUGGUUACGAGUGAGAAUGUUGGCAUCAGUAGCGAGAUGUGGGGGAGAAUCCCACAGGCCGAAAACCUAAGGUUUCCUCAGGAAGGUUCGUCCGCUGAGGGUUAGUCGGGACCUAAGCCGAGGCCGAAAGGCGUAGGUGAUGGACAACUGGUUGAUAUUCCAGUACCACUACCAUCGUUAUUAUCGAUGGCGUGACGCAGGAGGAUAGUGUGUGCUAGCUAUUGGAUGCUAGUCUAAGCGUUUAGGCAGUGAG
rnacentral:rRNA from 1 species